AACAAAACGAUGAAGAGAAGAGUAGAGUAGUGGAAUGUAACAGAGAGAGAUACGUUUGGUGCGAGUAUCUUUACAAUAAGCUAUUUGAAGACCAACUCUGAGUGACCCCAAUCAGGUCCGGUGAUUCCGUUAUAAUCAAAUGAGAGGCUAUGUUAUUUUACAUGUGCAAUAUUGUGUUGUAUAGAUGUUAUGCAACGAAUGAUAAUUGUGCAGAAAUAUUUUUCAUAGCAAUUCAGGGUGGAACCGCGUAUUUACGUCCCUGAU
rnacentral:ncRNA from 1 species